AUUGAACGCUGGCGGAAUGCUUUACACAUGCAAGUCGAACGGCAGCACGGGAGCAAUCCUGGUGGCGAGUGGCGAACGGGUGAGUAAAGUAUCGGAACGUGCCCAGUCGUGGGGGAUAACGUAGCGAAAGUUACGCUAAUACCGCAUACGAUCUAUGGAUGAAAGCGGGGGAUCGCAAGACCUCGCGCGAUUGGAGCGGCCGAUAUCAGAUUAGGUAGUUGGUGGGGUAAAGGCUCACCCAGCCGACGAUCUGUAGCUGGUCUGAGAGGACGACCAGCCACACUGGGACUGAGACACGGCCCAGACUCCUACGGGAGGCAGCAGUGGGGAAUUUUGGACAAUGGGCGAAAGCCUGAUCCAGCCAUGCCGCGUGCAGGAUGAAGGCCUUCGGGUUGUAAACUGCUUUUGUACGGAACGAAAAGGUUUGGCCUAAUAAGCUGAGCUCAUGACGGUACCGUAAGAAUAAGCACCGGCUAACUACGUGCCAGCCGCCGCCGUAA
rnacentral:rRNA from 1 species